UACGAGUGCCCGAGCGUUAUCCGGAAUUAUUGGGCGUAAAGGGUGUGUAGGUGGUUGUGUUAGUCGAUUGUCAAAGCCCCCGGCUUAACCGGGGAAAUGCAAUCGAAACGGCACGACUAGAGGAUGGCGGGGAUGUGUGGAACUCAGUGGAGUAGGGUGAAAUCCGUUGAUAGUCAUGGGGAACACCGAAAGCGAAGGCAGCACAUUGGGCCACUCCUGACACUGAAACACGAAAGCGUGGGUAGCGAAUGGG
rnacentral:rRNA from 1 species